GGGGCGGGGCGAGACAGGGUGAGGUUGGACGAGGCGGGGCGAGGCUAGGCGUGGCCAGGUGAGGCAGGGCGAGGCUAGGUACAGCUAUGCGUUGCGAGGCAGGAGAGGCGGGAGGAGAUGGGGUGAGGUGGUGGCAGAUAGGGCGAGGCAAAGCGUGACAGGUGAGGCGGGGCAAGGCGGGGCGAGGGGAAGCGAGGCUGGGCACGAUGAAAGUAGGCGGGGAGGGGUGGGGUGGGGGGGGGCGAGGCUAGGCUUGACGGGGCGAGGCGAGUUGUGGCAGGAUAAGCGGGAUGGGGUGAGGGGAAGCGAGGUGGAACGAGGCGAGGCGAGGC
ensembl:lncRNA